UCCAGCAACUAUAUCACCCUGCAGCAGCCCCACUGAGCCUGGUCAGUACCUGGAUGGGAGACCUCCUGGGAAAAACUGAGGCUGCUGCUGGAA
rnacentral:rRNA from 1 species